AGCUGACGAGUCCCAAAUAGGACGAAACGCGCAUCUU
rnacentral:hammerhead_ribozyme from 1 species